rnacentral:sRNA from 1 species
UCCUAGCCCCGAUAGCAGUGAAAAUCCUUUUUAUUCGCCUCAGCGAAUAAAAAGAUUGAAACGAAUAGCGGGAAAUAGC